rnacentral:rRNA from 1 species
UCUCUCAGUACGGUCGGAAAUCGUACGUAGAGUGUAAAGGCAAAAGAGAGCUUGAUUGCAAGACAUACAGGUCGAGCAAGGAUGAAAAUCGGACUUAGUGAUCCGGUGGUUCUGCGGGGAAGGGCCAUCGCUCAACGGAUAAAAGCUACCCUGGGGAUAACAGGCUUAUCUCCCCCAAGAGUCCACAUCGACGGGGAGGUUUGGCACCUCGAUGUCGGCUCAUCACAUCCUGGGGCUGUAGUAGGUCCCAAGGGUUGGGCUGUUCGCCCAUUAAAGUGGUACGCGAGCUGGGUUCAGAACGUCGUGAGACAGUUCGGUCCCUAUCCGUCGCAGGCGUAGGAAAUUUGAGAAGACCUGUCCUUAGUA